rnacentral:lncRNA from 1 species
UGAAAAGUGAGUAAAGUGGUGGGACCCAUUUAUAUUUAAUGAUAGAUUUGAGAUAGUGGAGGAAAAUAGUGGGUGUAAUAGUGUUUAUAUUAUUAUAGAAUGGAGAUAGUGGAAGAAUGUAGUGGGUGUAGUAGUGUUUUAUAUUAUAAAAAGUUACUAUAUUUAGAAUGUAUAGAAAUGAUGGGACGUCCCAAAAAGGAAACUGUAUAGAA